UAGCAAUUAGUGACUAUUUUUGUGACUUGAGAUGAUUUGGGUAUUCAGUAGGAGAGGAUCACAAAAAGUUCACCAAAAAUAUGUGGUGAAGGCAAGCAC